UACGGAGGAUUCGAGCGUUAUCCGGAUUUAUUGGGUUUAAAGGGUGCGUAGGCUGUCGGAUAAGUUAGAGGUCAAAUGUCGGGGCUUAACCCCGUGCCUGCCUCUGAUACUGUUCGACUGGAGAGCGGAUGCAGCAGGCGGAAUGAGUAGUGUAGCGGUGAAAUGCAUAGAUAUCGCGCAGAACCCCGAUUGCGAAGGCAGCCUGCCGGCCCCACACUGACGCUGAGGCACGAAAGCGUGGGUAUCGAACAGG
rnacentral:rRNA from 1 species